GACGAACGCUGGCGGCGUGCUUAACACAUGCAAGUCGAACGCUGAAGCUUGGUGCUUGCCCUGGGUGGAUGAGUGGCGAACGGGUGAGUAAUACGUGAGUAACCUGCCCUUGACUCUGGGAUAAGCCUGAGAAACUGGGUCUAAUACUGGAUACGACAUGUCACCGCAUGGUGGUGUGUGGAAAGGGUUUUACUGGUUUUGGAUGGGCUCACGGCCUAUCAGCUUGUUGGUGGGGUAAUGGCUCACCAAGGCGACGACGGGUAGCCGGCCUGAGAGGGUGACCGGCCACACUGGGACUGAGACACGGCCCAGACUCCUACGGGAGGCAGCAGUGGGGAAUAUUGCACAAUGGGCGGAAGCCUGAUGCAGCGACGCCGCGUGAGGGAUGACGGCCUUCGGGUUGUAAACCUCUUUCAGCACGGAAGAAGCGAAAGUGACGGUACGUGCAGAAGAAGCGCCGGCUAACUACGUG
rnacentral:rRNA from 1 species